AAAUCCUCCAAUGGCU
rnacentral:miRNA from 1 species